rnacentral:rRNA from 1 species
ACGAACGCUGGCGGCGUGCUUAACACCUGCAAGUCGAACGGAAAGGCCCUGCUUUUGUGGGGUGCUCGAGUGGCGAACGGGUGAGUAACACGUGAGUAACCUGCCCUUGACUUUGGGAAAACUUCAGGAAACUGGGGCUAAUACCGGAUAGGAGCUCCUGCUGCAUGGUGGGGGUUGGAAAGUUUCGGCGGUUGGGGAUGGACUCGCGGCUUAUCAGCUUGUUGGUGGGGUAGUGGCUUACCAAGGCUUUGACGGGUAGCCGGCCUGAGAGGGUGACCGGCCACAUUGGGACUGAGAUACGGCCCAGACUCCUACGGGAGGCAGCAGUGGGGAAUAUUGCACAAUGGGCGGAAGCCUGAUGCAGCAACGCCGCGUGCGGGAUGACGGCCUUCGGGUUGUAAACCGCUUUCGCCUGUGACGAAGCGUGAGUGACGGUAAUGGGUAAAGAAGCACCGGCUAACUACGUG